AUUGAACGCUGGCGGCAGGCCUAACACAUGCAAGUCGAACGAGUGGCGGACGGGUGAGUAAUGUCUGGGGAACUGCCUGAUGGAGGGGGAUAACUACUGGAAACGGUGGCUAAUACCGCAUACUAUCGGAUGUGCCCAGAGGGGAUUAGCUAGUAGGGGGGGUAAAGGCUCACCUAGGCGACGAUCCCUAGCUGGUCUGAGAGGAUGACCAGCCACACUGGAACUGGGAAACGGCCCAGACUCCUACGGGAGGCAGCAGUGGGGAAUAUUGCACAAUGGGCGCAAGCCUGAUGCAGCCAUGCCGCGUGUAUGAAGAAGGCCUUCGGGUUGUAAAGUACUUUCAGCGGGGAGGCGUUACCCGCAGAAGAAGCACCGGCUAACUCCGUGCCAGCAGCCGCGGUAAUAC
rnacentral:rRNA from 1 species